rnacentral:piRNA from 1 species
UACUAAAGGCUGCCUGCUACCAUGUUCC